GACGAAGGGGGCAAGCGUUGUUCGGAAUUACUGGGCGUAAAGGGCGCGUAGGCGGUUCUUUAAGUCAGGUGUGAAAGCCCCGGGCUCAACCUGGGAAGUGCACUUGAAACCUCGCAGCUCGAAUGCCGGAGAGGGUAGCGGAAUUCUCGGUGUAGAGGUGAAAUUCGUAGAUAUCGAGAGGAACACCGGUGGCGAAGGCGGUUCUCUGGGCAUUACCUGACGCUGAGGAGCGAAAGUGUGGGGAGCGAACAGG
rnacentral:rRNA from 1 species